rnacentral:misc_RNA from 1 species
AAUCAUCAACCAUUUCAAAUUUAUUUUGAAUUGGAUUGGACUUGGGAUUUGCUGGUCUCUUGACGAGUCAGCUAUCCUUAAAUGAAUUAGCAUGAACUAGUGUUCGUCUGAUUGGCUUGAUAAUUUAUCCGCCAUGACAAAGACCAAUGAAUGUUCUGCUUAUAAUAAACAAAUCUCUUGACA